AAAAAAAAGGGGGGGGGGGGGUUGUCAUUCUCUAGUAGAGAAAAUCUAUGUUUGAUUAACUUUCUGUUUUCUUUAUUGAAAGUCAGGUUAACGUUAUGGGAAAUCAGAAGGUCCUAAAAAUCCAGAUGCCUGUGUUGAAAUCAACAUGAUUCCAACUAGGAGACACCCAUUAGAAAAAUGGUUUAACAAUUGAGGCCACCCUUAUUGAAUAAACUGGUAACAAUUAAAUUUCUUGACAAUAAUCUCUUUCAUAAAUUUGACAAAAAAGUAACAGAAUAAGACAUAUCAUCAUUGACAUGCAUAGUACAGGGUAACAAAAUAAAGCAAAAGAAGAAGAAGAAAAAA